AACCAGACUCCUACGGGAGGCAGCAGUCGGGAAUAUUGCGCAAUGGAGGAAACUCUGACGCAGUGACGCCGCGUAUAGGAAGAAGGUUUUCGGAUUGUAAACUAUUGUCGUGAGGGAAGAAAUUGACAGUACCUCAGGAGGAAGCUCCGGCUAACUAUGUGCCAGCAGCCGCGGUAAUACGUAUGGUGCAAGCGUUAUCCGGAUUUACUGGGUGUAAAGGGAGCGUAGGCGGCGCGUUAAGUCUGAUGUGAAAACCCGAGGCUCAACCACGGGAGUGCAUUGGAAACUGGCGGGCUGGAGUGCCGGAGAGGUAAGCGGAAUUCCUAGUGUAGCGGUGAAAUGCGUAGAUAUUAGGAGGAACACCAGUGGCGAAGGCGGCUUACUGGACGGCAACUGACGCUGAGGCUCGAAAGCGUGGGGAGCAAACAGGAUUAGAUACCCGAGUAGUC
rnacentral:rRNA from 1 species